rnacentral:rRNA from 1 species
AUGGUUCUGGGAUAUUCGCCCUCUGAGAGCCAGAGUAUUGCUAAUCGACUUAACUGUCGGUUGGGGACAUUCCCUACUACCUACCUAGGGGUCCCCAUUAAUGACGCCCGUCUGUCCGUGGCCGAUCUGCAGCCCUUGGUGCUCAAGCUACAUCACCGCAUCGAGCCGUGGCAGGGGCGAUGGCUUUCUAAGACUGCCCGUACGAUCCUCAUUAACUUGUACCUCUCCAGUCUCCUCCUGUUCAUUAUGAGCUUCUACAGCCUCCCCGAAACUCUUCACCAUGAGACCGGUUCGAUCCAAGCGCGGUUCUAUUGGGCUGGCGAGGGUGACAAGCAGAAGUACCAUAUGGUCCACUGGACCGAAAUCUGUAAGCCUCGCGACCAAGGUGGGCUUGGAAUCAUGUCCUCCAAGCGCAUGAACUUGGCUCUUCUCACCCGUUGGCUCUGGCGCAUUGCUAAUGGCGAUGGUGGCCUGUGGUUGCAUAUCGUGCGCCAUAAAUACCUGCGCGGACACCCCCUCACCUUUUGCGUUAGGACUGGAGGGUCAUAG